rnacentral:rRNA from 1 species
CCUACGGGUGGCAGCAGUGAGGAAUAUUGGUCAAUGGACGCAAGUCUGAACCAGCCAUGCAGCGUGCAGGAUGACGGCUCUAUGAGUUGUAAACUGCUUUUGUACGAGGGUAAACCCCGAUACGUGUAUCGGGUUGAAAGUAUCGUACGAAUAAGGAUCGGCUAACUCCGUGCCAGCAGCCGCGGUAAUACGGAGGAUCCGAGCGUUAUCCGGAUUUAUUGGGUUUAAAGGGUGCGUAGGCGGUUUGAUAAGUUAGAGGUGAAAUGUCGGGGCUCAACCCCGAAACUGCAUAUAAUACUGUUAGACUAGAGAAUAGUUGCGGUAGGCGGAAUGUGUGGUGUAGCGGUGAAAUGCUUAGAGAUCAUACAGAACACCGAUUGCGAAGGCAGCUUACCAAACUAUAUCUGACGUUGAGGCACGAAAGCGUGGGUAGCAAACAGGAUUAGAUACCCGGGUAGUC